rnacentral:rRNA from 1 species
ACUCCUACGGGAGGCAGCAGUGGGGAAUAUUGCACAAUGGGCGCAAGCCUGAUGCAGCCAUGCCGCGUGUAUGAAGAAGGCCUUCGGGUUGUAAAGUACUUUCAGCAGUGAGGAAGGCGGUGACGUUAAUAGCGUGCUCGUUUGAUUCGAUGAUGCUGCAGAAGAAGCACCGGCUAACUCCGUGCCAGCAGCCGCGGUAAUACGGAGGGUGCGAGCGUUAAUCGGAAUUACUGGGCGUAAAGCGCAUGCAGGUGGUUUGUUAAGUCAGAUGUGAAAGCCCGGGGCUU